rnacentral:sRNA from 1 species
GCAUUCGAUGACCACCUCUAGACCGUUCUGCAACUGGCUUAGCAUCGUCGUGGAGCCUGUAACGUGUAAUGGCACCAUACCCAAAAAAAAAACUAUAGGAGUAGCGCGCUUAGGUCCACCGUGGCUUCAUGCCGGAGAAGAAAGUCGACUUCCAGAAGGCUAGGUGGCACCGCCUAAAGGCAACAAGUCUUGAAGCACCGAGCGGUGCUCGCAGGACUACGGGGCAAGCAGUGGUAUGUAGUGCGACUUUGACGUCCCGCUUGUUGAGCAGGGAUACGGAGGUGGUAUGGUGGUUGAGUUGACUUCAGUUAGUUUCCCAAUGCAACCUUUUAGAGUGGCUUGGGCACUGAACGAUAUGUUGCAUCUAUCCUUGGACGCUAGGGGAGUCGGCCACAUAGAAAAUGGAGCAACCGGAGUUUCGCACCCCCAGUAAGUACGGACUGUUAAGUUAGUUUAUGUGCUGUUCGAAACAACUCUAUAUCUCCUGUAUCACUCGAGAACCUUCGACCAGAAAUAAAAAAGAUCACGGACGGGUAUUUUGAAAAUUUUACAAUCAAAGCAAUCUUUAACUAAACACGCAAAUUAAAAACAUUACUGCUUGCAAUGAUACCCAGACCUCUACGUAUCUUCCCUAAUGUAUAAAAUUACAUUAAAAAUGUAGUAUUAAAAUUUAGUACAACCAGGCAAAAGAUAUUUAAGUUAUGCAAAAUAAAAAAACCUGUCUUUUUAAACUAUAAGAAAAAAACUCCAAACCUACAGAAAAAAGCUUCUCCUUCGAUUUAUUGCGUACGUGCCUGAACGAUGCUCAAGCUCAAUACUACUCGGCUCUCAAGAUACAUAGCCGGCUGCAAGGCAAGAACGCAAGGGAUCCACAUGCAAUGUUGAAAGGGGUGCAUCACCAUUGUGGAUGAUUUUAGGUGAUAAUAAAAGCUAAUAAAAAAAACUAAAUGGAAAAGCCUCUGACGAGAUUUUGAGGAGCACUACAAAAUAAUGACCCGCAAUGAGUAAAUUGAAAUUCAGACAAACAAUUUGUAAGGUGAUGACCUAUAUAAUCAUAUGGUAAGCUGAA